UACGAAGGGGGCUAGCGUUGUUCGGAAUUACUGGGCGUAAAGCGCACGUAGGCGGAUAUUUAAGUCAGGGGUGAAAUCCCGCAGCUCAACUGCGGAACUGCCUUUGAUACUGGGUAUCUCGAGUAUGGAAGAGGUGAGUGGAAUUCCGAGUGUAGAGGUGAAAUUCGUAGAUAUUCGGAGGAACACCAGUGGCGAAGGCGGCUCACUGGUCCAUUACUGACGCUGAGGUGCGAAAGCGCCGGCGUCUAACCGCGUCAGAUGGCCAGGUAGUUC
rnacentral:rRNA from 1 species